rnacentral:rRNA from 1 species
CCUACGGGGGGCUGCAGUGGGGAAUAUUGGACAAUGGGGGGAACCCUGAUCCAGCCAUGCCGCGUGUGUGAAGAAGGCCCUCGGGUUGUAAAGCACUUUCAGUGAGGAAGAACGCCUGGUGGUUAAUACCCAUCAGGAAAGACAUCACUCACAGAAGAAGCACCGGCUAACUCCGUGCCAGCAGCCGCGGUAAUACGGAGGGUGCGAGCGUUAAUCGGAAUUACUGGGCGUAAAGCGCGCGUAGGUGGCUUGAUAAGCCGGUUGUGAAAGCCCCGGGCUCAACCUGGGAACGGCAUCCGGAACUGUCAAGCUAGAGUGCAGGAGAGGAAGGUAGAAUUCCCGGUGCAGCGGUGAAAUGCGUAGAGAUCGGGAGGAAUACCAGUGGCGAAGGCGGCCUUCUGGACUGACACUGACACUGAGGUGCGAAAGCGUGGGUAGCAAACAGGAUUAGAUACCCCAGUAGUC